rnacentral:rRNA from 1 species
UUAGGAAUCUGCCUAUUAGUGGGGGACAACAUUUCGAAAGGAAUGCUAAUACCGCAUACGUCCUACGGGAGAAAGCAGGGGAUCUUCGGACCUUGCGCUAAUAGAUGAGCCUAAGUCGGAUUAGCUAGUUGGUGGGGUAAAGGCCUACCAAGGCGACGAUCUGUAGCGGGUCUGAGAGGAUGAUCCGCCACACUGGGACUGAGACACGGCCCAGACUCCUACGGGAGGCAGCAGUGGGGAAUAUUGGACAAUGGGCGCAAGCCUGAUCCAGCCAUGCCGCGUGUGUGAAGAAGGCCUUAUGGUUGUAAAGCACUUUAAGCGAGGAGGAGGCUACUUUAGUUAAUACCUAGAGAUAGUGGACGUUACUCGCAGAAUAAGCACCGGCUAACUCUGUGCCAGCAGCCGCGGUAAUACAGAGGGUGCAAGCGUUAAUCGGAUUUACUGGGCGUAAAGCGCGCGUAGGCGGCUAAUUAAGUCAAAUGUGAAAUCCCCGAGCUUAACUUGGGAAUUGCAUUCGAUACUGGUUAGCUAGAGUGUGGGAGAGGAUGGUAGAAUUCCAGGUGUAGCGGUGAAAUGCGUAGAGAUCUGGAGGAAUACCGAUGGCGAAGGCAGCCAUCUGGCCUAACACUGACGCUGAGGUGCGAAAGCAUGGGGAGCAAACAGGAUUAGAUACCCUGGUAGUCCAUGCCGUAAACGAUGUCUACUAGCCGUUGGGGCCUUUGAGGCUUUAGUGGCGCAGCUAACGCGAUAAGUAGACCGCCUGGGGGAGUACGGUCGCAAGACUAAAACUCAAAUGAAUUGACGGGGGCCCGCACAAGCGGUGGAGCAUGUGGUUUAAUUCGAUGCAACGCGAAGAACCUUACCUGGCCUUGACAUAGUAAGAACUUUCCAGAGAUGGAUUGGUGCCUUCGGGAACUUACAUACAGGUGCUGCAUGGCUGUAGUCAGCUCGUGUCGUGAGAUGUUGGGUUAAGUCCCGCAACGAGCGCAACCCUUUUCCUUAUUUGCCAGCGAGUAAUGUCGGGAACUUUAAGGAUACUGCCAGUGACAAACUGGAGGAAGGCGGGGACGACGUCAAGUCAUCAUGGCCCUUACGGCCAGGGCUACACACGUGCUACAAUGGUCGGUACAAAGGGUUGCUACCUAGCGAUAGGAUGCUAAUCUCAAAAAGCCGAUCGUAGUCCGGAUUGGAGUCUGCAACUCGACUCCAUGAAGUCGGAAUCGCUAGUAAUCGCGGAUCAGAAUGCCGCGGUGAAUAC